rnacentral:misc_RNA from 1 species
ACAGAAGGAUCAUUAGUGAAGAUUCGGGCAGGCCAUACGGCCGCCAGUGUCCCUGGCCGCCUACACCCACUAUACAUCCACAAACCCGUGUGCACUGUCUUGGAGAAAGGCUUCAGAGAAGUUUUUUGUGGCCUCUCUUGGGGUCUUUCUUCGCUACAAACUCGAAUGGUUAGUAUGAACGUGGAACUUGGUUGGACCGUCACUGGCCAACAAACUAUACACAACUUUCGACAACGGAUCUCUUGGUUCUCCCA